AGGUUAGGUUGUAGGUUUUAGGUUUUAGCCUGGUUGAGACUGUUGGUCUUCUAGCCACCCAUCAGUCCAGCCGCAAUGGCCACAGAUGAUGUCAAGGAAGCCACUGAGGGUGUUGGAGCACUUAGUGUCACUGAGAAGGCCAGCAAUGGAGUCUCAGAAAAGUGGGGACUUGAGCUGCAGCAUCUCUACCACUUGGCUGUCAAGUUUUACAAAGACAACUCUGGCAAGGUGCUGCAGCCGAGUUACGAGCAGAAGCUGCAGCUGUCGGCUCUGCAGCAGCAGUCAGUCCACGGGCCGUGCCGACCGGACGCGCUGCCGCCGCUCGGAGUGCUGGACGUCAUCGGACGCGACCGCAGACAGGCGUGGCAGGCGCUCGGUGAACUGAGCCGACCCGAGGCCAUGACUCGCUACAUUGAGCUGCUAGACUCUGUGUGUGCUACGUUCCGGCCGUACGCGGAGGCACACAAGUGUGACCUGGAGGCCAAACAGCGGAAACUAGAAGAGGCGCAGAACUCUGCCCGCCAGGAGCUGCAGGAGCAGGAGGAGGGUCGCCAGCGGCUGGAGCAGAUGGCCAUUCAGCAGGAGCAGGAGGAGGCUAGGAGACAGGAGGAGACCAAACGACACAUCAAGGAGGCUCUGAACCAGCAGACGCGGGCCCAGUUUCGGGCCUACGCCGAACAGCAGUACCCGGGCAGCCCUGAUCAGCAAGCGGUGCUGAUCGAGCAGCUUCAGGAGCAGCACUAUCAGCAGUACAUGCAACAGCUGUACCAGCAGCAGCUCCAGCAACAGCAGCAGCAGCAGCGGCCGGCACCGGUAGAGACCAGUGGAGGUGGGGCGGCCGAACCCCAGCCGGCUGGAGCGUCCGACCACGCCGCAGAGCCCGCCGCGCCCGCUGUGCCCGCCGCGCCGGCCAGUUCACAGGGCGACGCUGCCGGGACGGGGACAGGAGCCGCAGUGCCACCGCCAGUGAGUGCCGCCAUGGCCGCCGUCCAGACCCCAGAGACGGAGGCUCUGCUGGAGUCGGGAGCCGACAGGUCACUCCGGGAGACGGACGGACUGUUGGCAGAGUCGGCGGGCGAGGAGUCCGACUCCGGAGACGAGCAUGUGCCCGACGUCGGCUCUGCCAGUAUGUGGACGCGCAAGGACCUUGCCGAGUUCAAACAGGCCAUCAAGGCCGAGGGAGGUGACGCAGUACUCAAGGUCGGCCACGGAGAGACGGUCACGAUCCGUGUACCUACCCACGAGGACGGCACGUGCCUGUUUUGGGAGUUCGCCACGGACAGUUACGACAUCGGCUUCGGCGUGUUCUUCGAGUGGGGUCCCUCAGAGGACAGCGAGGUGACCAUCCACAUCAGCGAGAGCGAGGAUGAGGACGAGGACCCCGAGAAUGCCGACGAUCCGGAGCGGGGCGCUCACGCGGCCGCCGAGGACCGUCCGCUAACCACCUGUGUGAUUCCCGUGUACCGGCGGGACUGCCAUCAGGAGGUGUACGCCGGAUCGCAUGUCUAUCCUGGACAGGGCGUGUACCAGCUCAAAUUCGACAACUCCUACAGUCUAUGGCGCUCCAAGACGCUCUACUAUCGAGUCUACUACACGCGGUGAAAGGCCCACGAGCGCUCACCCGGCUGUGUAGCGCCGCGGCGCCGGUCAGUGUGGGGUCUGGAUGAUCCAGCCCGGAGUGGUGGUGGGUGAUCCACCGAGUUACCAGCGCUCUGAGGCAGCGGACCGCUGAGGCUACUGCUGUAAGGGCUGGCAGGUGGAUAUUGAUGGAGUGAUGGGAACAAGAGGCUAGGUUCUGUCAGAGCUGAGGUAGAUUCUAUGCUGUAGUGGUUUCAGCCUUGUCAGCGAGGCUGAGAGACGUGUGUGGGCACUGGAUUUUGGGUAGUGGACUGGUGACGGCAGAUGAAUGGCUGCCUGUGGAUGACUGGGAGUGAAGUGGAUAUUCCACACCGUUUUGUGGUACUCAGAGGUGGACGUCACUGUGCAAUGUAAUUAUAUGGGCAAGCAAUGUUACGUUACACGGAAUCCUGUAUACUCACUAGUCACUGGACCCAUGGGGCGGUGGACUGUUGGAUCGUGUAGUAUUACCACCAACUGUCCCAGUGCGCUCUGCUGCGACCUUCUUUCCGUGGCCCUCUCAGCUCCGCCAACGUACGGCCAUCCUAGUACCGUGUCCAGGCCCGUGCAGCUCUGCCCGUAGUCCUCUAGUACCGCUUUCCACCUCCCAUCUGUACUCUCUGGCGCUCGCAGCCCCGCCGGCCGUCCCAGUACCGCCAUCUGCCCCUUUUAGCUCUCUGCAGUGACGACUAGCCAACCUGAUCGGCCGGUAGUGAGCCUUUCAGAACUAUCACGGAUAUCUCCCAGCUGACUACUCCGGCAGGGGAAGUCAUCAUCGGACAACUGCACGGCGCCUCACAGACUGACUGCUCCACCUGAUCGGACUAGAAAGAACGGAGAUUGCGCCGCCCCUGUCGCCCGCCGCUGGUGGGCGUUCAACGGAAAUGUGCAGUAGAUACUGUGUGCGGCACAUACUGUAUGGAGUCGUUUGGGAGACUCUUCAUUGAGCGGAGAUACGACUCAAUCUGUCCGACCCAUGGUUGGAUCAGAUCCCUGUGUGUCCCCUGCCCCGGGCAUUUCAUGUGUUGUUCUGUUGUUUUGUAGAUGUUUAUGUUGCGACGCUGUCUGAGUCGCGAUUCCUGUAAUGAAUGGUGUGACUGUUUGGUGUUUGGGUGUCCCCCGAUGUGUGGGGCAGGGCUAGUGUGAAACAUGCUACAGCCACGCCGGGUUUGGCUAGGGAGAGGUCUUACUGUAUCUGAUGAUUGUGAGCAAGGCGUGGUAAUUUUAAGAAACGAUCUACCGCCGCCAGCGCCACCACUCGUGUACUUGUGUUUCUCGGACUGUUCGUCGGAGGGCAGCACUGGUCGGUUGUGUAGCGUUAUUGGACGGGCCGUGAUGUCGCUUCUCUGGGCGUUCGUUGUCGCAAUGGCUGUCCCGUGGACUGCCGUUUGCGUCGCAGCACCGUAGAGUGCUCAGAGGCUCUGGGCAUUUGAGUCGUAUGGAUGAACGGGCUUUAAAGUGUAUAACCAAUUACAUGUGUGAGUGUGUCCGUGGAAUACAGCUAUGUUGUAUCUUACA
rnacentral:misc_RNA from 1 species